rnacentral:piRNA from 1 species
UNGAUCAAGGCCUUACAGACUAUUUUGUGAC